UUCACUGUUUCGAAAAUUUUACAGCAUUUUUAGAAAAAUUAGCUCACACAACGUGCUAUCUUCUUCAGCCACAAUUUGAUUUCUUCCUCAGCCACAACUUUUUAUUCUUGGGGAGAAAGUAAAGCUCCCUUAACCACAAUUUCAGUGUUUUCUUACCAGCCACACAUUCUGAGCUUGAAGAAGCAUAACUUAAUUCUUGCACCUACGUAAUUUCAGUCUAUUUAAACUCCACAUCGUCAUCCCCAAUUCGCUUUUUCCUCAUCUAUUUCCCUACAGCAUGUAAAUCCAUUUUCAUCUUUCACUACAGAAUCCAAGCUGGUACGGCGCGACUAGGACGUGAAUUUUAAUUUCUCGCAGUCAAUUUCAAAGUUAAAGUUUCAGGUGUGGGAUUUAUUUCAGUACAUGCUGUGGUUAAUCUUUGUCCAUUUUAAUAUUAUGUGUUUGCCAUAUGUGUUGUAAAUUCAGUUAUAUCGCUAGGGGCCCGCUCAAUGGGUCCAGGACUUCACCGUCCUUGGUAUGCCACAAUGCGAUUUCAUGUUACAGUUAGGGUUGCAACCUAUUCGCCAGGGGCCUGCUCAAUGGGUCCAGGACUUUAAAGUCCUUGGUAUGCCACCGUGCGAAUUUCAGUUAUCAGUACAGUGCAGUGCGUAUGUGUUGACCAUUUUAUUAACGUGGACAAUUAUUGCAUGUUUCCCACACUGAGUAUAUUUCAUAUGCUCAUCCCAUAUUUAACAUUUUCAGGUAACUAAGGUUGGAGACGCGUGGAGGAUCGAAUGGGCGCGUCAAGUAUAUAUAUAUAUUGAAAAAUAUGAUGGCGUAGUUACAUCUAGCCUUUUGCUUGUAUAGUUUCAAAGUCUAAAACUACUUUUGAGAUUUUAAUAUAACUUAUCAGGUUUAAUGUUAUCAUAUUAGCUUUUCC